ACAUAGCCCCGAUAGGAAAGGCAUCUCCCGAAGCUUCGGGAAUUAAGUAAAUAGUGGAAAAUAGC
rnacentral:sRNA from 1 species